AAUGAACGCUGGCGGCGUGGUUUACACAUGCAAGUCGAACGGUAACAGGUCUUCGGAUGCUGACGAGUGGCGAACGGGUGAGUAAUGCAUCGGAACGUGCCCAGUAGUGGGGGAUAGCCCGGCGAAAGCCGGAUUAAUACCGCAUACGACCUGAGGGUGAAAGGGGGGGAUCGCAAGACCUCUCGCUAUUGGAGCGGCCGAUGUCAGAUUAGCUAGUUGGUGGGGUAAAGGCCUACCAAGGCAACGAUCUGUAGUUGGUCUGAGAGGACGACCAGCCACACUGGGACUGAGACACGGCCCAGACUCCUACGGGAGGCAGCAGUGGGGAAUUUUGGACAAUGGACGCAAGCCUGAUCCAGCAAUGCCGCGUGCAGGAAGAAGGCCUUCGGGUUGUAAACUGCUUUUGUCAGGGAAGAAAUCUUCUGGGUUAAUACCUCGGGAGGAUGACGGUACCUGAAGAAUAAGCACCGGCUAACUACGUGCCAGCCGCCGCCGUAAUAC
rnacentral:rRNA from 1 species